UGUGACUGCGUACCUUUUGUAUAAUGGGUCAGCGACUUAUAUUCUGUAGCAAGGUUAACCGAAUAGGGGAGCCGGAGGGAAACCGAGUCUUAAUUGGGCGUUAAGUUGCAGGGUAUAGACCCGAAACCCGGUGAUCUAGCCAUGGGCAGGUUGAAGGUUGGGUAACACUAACUGGAGGACCGAACCGACUAAUGUUGAAAAAUUAGCGGAUGACCUGUGGCUGGGGGUGAAAGGCCAAUCAAACCGGGAGAUAGCUGGUUCUCCCCGAAAGCUAUUUAGGUAGCGCCUCGUGAAUUCAUCUCCGGGGGUAGAGCACUGUUUCGGCUAGGGGGCCAUCCCGGCUUACCAACCCGAUGCAAACUGCGAAUACCGGAGAAUGUUAUCACGGGAGACACACGGCGGGUGCUAACGUCCGUCGUGAAGAGGGAAACAACCCAGACCGCCAGCUAAGGUCCCAAAGUCAUGGUUAAGUGGGAAACGAUGUGGGAAGGCCCAGACAGCCAGGAUGUUGGCUUAGAAGCAGCCAUCAUUUAAAGAAAGCGUAAUAGCUCACUGGUCGAGUCGGCCUGCGCGGAAGAUGUAACGGGGCUAAACCAUG
rnacentral:rRNA from 2 species